rnacentral:lncRNA from 1 species
CUCUCUCUCUCUCGUUUAGAGACAGCCUGGUUUUCAGCUCCUUUUACUAACAUAUCUGGUGCGGAGACUCAGGAGGAGGUAUGCGAUCAAUUACGUGAUGAUUCCCCACCGGUUGGGGUUGAUUGGCCUUUUGCUGCCUCCUCCAGACCACAUCUGCGGAGCCAGGACCUCCUCGGGCCUUUCUGCCUUUACCAUUGCUGAUGACUCACAUCCACCCCGGUCACUGCUCUCAGGAGCGACUCCCUCCCCUGACCCGGACCUCAGCCCAGACUCCAAAGUGACUAUUGAUCCAACAGACCACUUUAUAAAAGGUCGUUCUGCCUGUGAGGCCCUUCUUGGAAAUCAACUACUCCAACAACCAUGA